AGCGCGAAGAACCUUACCUAGACUUGACAUCCCGGUGACCGCUCUGGAAACAGAGUUUUCCCUUUGGGGACACUGGUGACAGGUGGUGCAUGGUUGUCGUCAGCUCGUGUCGUGAGAUGUUCGGUUAAGUCCGAUAACGAGCGCUACCCUUCUCCUUAGUUGCUAACAUUUAGUUGAGAACCCUAAGGAUACUGCCGGUGACAAACCGGAGGAAGGUGGGGAUGACGUCAAAUCAUCAUGCCCCUUACGUCUAGGGCUACAGGCGUGCUAUAAUGGCCGGUAUAAUGAGUCGCAAUACCGUGAGGUGGAGCUAAUCUCCAAAGCCGGUCCCAGUUCGGAUUGAAGUCUGCAACUCGACUUCAUGAAGCUAGAAUCGCUAGUAAUCCCGGAUCAGAAUGCCGGGGUGAAUACGUUCCCGGGUCUUGUACACACGC
rnacentral:rRNA from 1 species